GUGUCAGCAGCCGCGGUAAUACGUAGGGUGCAAGCGUUAAUCGGAAUUACUGGGCGUAAAGCGUGCGCAGGCGGUUCCAUAAGACAGAUGUGAAAUCCCCGGGCUCAACCUGGGAACUGCAUUUGUGACUGUGGAGCUAGAGUACGGUAGAGGGGGAUGGAAUUCCGCGUGUAGCAGUGAAAUGCGUAGAUAUGCGGAGGAACACCAAUGGCGAAGGCAAUCCCCUGGACCUGUACUGACGCUCAUGCACGAAAGCGUGGGGAGCAAACAGGAUUAGAUACCCUGGUAGUCCACGCCCUAAACGAUGUCAACUGGUUGUUGGGAGGGUUUCUUCUCAGUAACGAAGCUAACGCGUGAAGUUGACCGCCUGGGGAGUACGGCCGCAAGGUUGAA
rnacentral:rRNA from 1 species